AUUCGAAGCAAGAGGCUGACACGACAAGAAUUAAGUUGUACUCCUCUUUUUAGACUCUCGAGAGAUCCAAUAAAAAAACACCUCUCCGGGAGUCAACAAGGAACAAGGAACGAGGAACCUUUUGCUGCUAUUUAUAUACACAGACAGGCCCUAUGGAUUGCCACGUGCAAUGGGGGGACAUCCAGCAUUCCGUGCUGAACAGAGACACUCACCAUCACCUCUGAUGUUUGCAGACCUGCAGCCUGCUCGAGAUCCACCUUUGCCUGUUGCUUACGGAGAGGUCCGUGGGAAUAGUCCUUUUCAAGACAGUGCACAAGGUUGCGCUGACGUCAACUACCCCAAUUAACCCUUGGAAGCUGAUAAUAUUUUUUGUGCUUUUUCAAAUAACAGUUUGAGUUUUCGUUUAUUUUAUUUGUUGGCCACUCACCAUUUGGUGUGACAUCUAUACUCCUUUUACAAUGUCUGUAUGUUAAUUGAUGUGUCCUUUUGUACUCUUGUGCAUAUCUUUUUUCUGUAGGUGGCCCCACAUUUUAUUAUAUCCUGAAGUGUGAUAAAGCUUUUACCUCAGCAUUUUGAUUGUUAUUGCUUGUUUAUCUCCCUGCUGAAUAAAUAUAUUUUUGACUAUUA